rnacentral:rRNA from 1 species
CUGGCUCAGGAUGAACGCUAGCGGCAGGCCUAACACAUGCAAGUCGAGGGGUAACGAUGGAGCUUGCUCCAGGCGACGACCGGCGCACGGGUGAGUAACGCGUUUGCAACCUACCUCUAACUGGAAGAUAGCCCGAAGAAAUUCGGAUUAAUAUUCCAUAACACUAUGAUUUGGCAUCUUUUUAUAGUUAAAGUUUCGACGGUUAGAGAUGGGCAUGCGUGGCAUUAGCUAGUUGGUGAGGUAACGGCUCACCAAGGCCACGAUGUCUAGGGGGUCUGAGAGGAUGGUCCCCCACACUGGUACUGAGACACGGACCAGACUCCUACGGGAGGCAGCAGUGAGGAAUAUUGGUCAAUGGGCGAAAGCCUGAACCAGCCAUGCCGCGUGAAGGAUGACGGCCCUACGGGUUGUAAACUUCUUUUGUUUGAGAAGAAACCUCCCUACGUGUAGGGGGCUGACGGUAUCGAACGAAUAAGCAUCGGCUAACUCCGUGCCAGCAGCCGCGGUAAUACGGAGGAUGCAAGCGUUAUCCGGAUUCAUUGGGUUUAAAGGGUACGCAGGCGGAAAACUAAGUCAGUGGUGAAAUCCUGCAGCUUAACUGUAGAACUGUCAUUGAUACUGGUUUUCUUGGAUUCAGUUGAGGUAGGCGGAAUGUGUAAUGUAGCGGUGAAAUGCUUAGAUAUUACACAGAACACCGAUUGCGAAGGCAGCUUACUAAACUGCGAUUGACGCUGAGGUACGAAAGCGUGGGUAGCAAACAGGAUUAGAUACCCUGGUAGUCCACGGCCGUAAACUAUGAUCACUCGUUGUUGGCAACACAUCGUCAGCGACUAAGCGAAAGCCUUACGUGAUCCACCUGGGGAAGUACGGCCGCAAGGUUGAAACUCAAAGGACUUGACGGGGGCCCGACAAGCGGAGGACCCAUGUGGGUUAAUCGAUGAUACCGAGAACUUUACUGGGCUUAAUGUAGAGCGAGGACCCGGGAAAACUGGGCUCCUACGGACGAUCUACAAGGUGCUGCAUGGCUGUCGUCAGCUCGUGCCGUGAGGUGUCGGGUUAAGUCCCAUAACGAGCGCAACCCUUAUCAUUAGUU